UACGUAGGUGGCAAGCGUUGUCCGGAAUUAUUGGGCGUAAAGAGCUUGUAGGCGGUCUGUCGCGUCUGCUGUGAAAAUCCGGGGCUCAACCCCGGACUUGCAGUGGGUACGGGCAGACUAGAGUCCGGAAGAGGAGAGUGGAAUUCCUGGUGUAGCGGUGAAAUGCGCAGAUAUCAGGAAGAACACCCGUGGCGAAGGCGGCUCUCUGGGACGGUACUGACGCUGAGACGCGAAAGCGUGGGGAGCGAACAGG
rnacentral:rRNA from 1 species